rnacentral:rRNA from 1 species
UACAGAGGUCUCAAGCGUUGUUCGGAUUCAUUGGGCGUAAAGGGUGCGUAGGUGGCGCUGUAAGUCAGGUGUGAAAUUUCGGAGCUUAACUCCGAAACUGCAUUUGAUACUGCGGUGCUCGAGGACUGGAGAGGAGACUGGAAUUUACGGUGUAGCAGUGAAAUGCGUAGAGAUCGUAAGGAAGACCAGUGGCGAAGGCGGGUCUCUGGACAGUUCCUGACACUGAGGCACGAAGGCCAGGGGAGCAAAACGGG